rnacentral:rRNA from 1 species
GGCGGCGUGCUUAACACAUGCAAGUCGAACGAAAAUACCAAGCUUGCUUGGUUGAUUAGUGGCGAACGGGUGAGUAACACGUGAGUAACCUGCCCCUUACUUUCCUGGAUAACUGCUCGAAAGGGUAGCUAAUACGGGAUAUUCUGACCUGCCUGCAUGGGUUGGUUUGGAAAGGUUGUUUUUCUGGUAAGGGAUGGGCUCGCGGCCUAUCAGCUUGUUGGUGGGGUGAUGGCCUACCAAGGCUUUGACGGGUAGCCGGCCUGAGAGGGUGGACGGUCACACUGGGACUGAGAUACGGCCCAGACUCCUACGGGAGGCAGCAGUGGGGAAUAUUGCACAAUGGGCGCAAGCCUGAUGCAGCGACGCCGCGUGAGGGAUGAAGGCCUUCGGGUUGUAAACCUCUUUCGUCAGGGAACAAGGCACUGCUUUUUUGGUGGUGUUGAGGGUACCUGGAUAAGAAGCGCCGGCUAACUACGUGCC